CGCACGGGUGCGUAACGCGUAUGCAACCUACCCAUUACAGGGGGAUAACACUGAGAGAUCGGUACUAAUACCCCAUAACAUCCAGGGAGGCAUCUUCUUGGGUUGAAAACUCCGGUGGUAAUGGAUGGGCAUGCGUUGUAUUAGUUAGUUGGUGGGGUAACGGCUCACCAAGACAACGAUACAUAGGGGGACUGAGAGGUUAACCCCCCACAUUGGUACUGAGACACGGACCAAACUCCUACGGGAGGCAGCAGUGAGGAAUAUUGGUCAAUGGACGCAAGUCUGAACCAGCCAUGCCGCGUGCAGGAAGACGGCUCUAUGAGUUGUAAACUGCUUUUGUACGAGGGUAAACGCAGAUACGCGUAUCUGUCUGAAAGUAUCGUACGAAUAAGGAUCGGCUAACUCCGUGCCAGCAGCCGCGGUAAUACGGAGGAUUCAAGCGUUAUCCGGAUUUAUUGGGUUUAAAGGGUGCGUAGGCGGUCGGAUAAGUUAGAGGUGAAAUCCCGGGGCUCAACUUCGGAAUUGCCUCUGAUACUGUUCGGCUAGAGAGUAGUUGCGGUAGGCGGAAUGUAUGGUGUAGCGGUGAAAUGCUUAGAGAUCAUACAGAACACCGAUUGCGAAGGCAGCUUACCAAGCUACUUCUGACGUUGAGGCACGAAAGCGUGGGGAGCAAACAGGAUUAGAUACCCUGGUAGUCCACGCAGUAAACGAUGAUAACUCGUUGUCGGCGAUACAGUGUCGGUGACUAAGCGAAAGCGAUAAGUUAUCCACCUGGGGAGUACGUUCGCAAGAAUGAAACUCAAAGGAAUUGACGGGGGCCCGCACAAGCGGAGGAACAUGUGGUUUAAUUCGAUGAUACGCGAGGAACCUUACCCGGGCUUGAAAGUUAGUGACGGAUCUUGAAAGAGGUCUUCCCUUCGGGGCACGAAACUAGGUGCUGCAUGGUUGUCGUCAGCUCGUGCCGUGAGGUGUCGGGUUAAGUCACAUAACGAGCGCAACCCCUACCGUUAGUUGCCAGCAGGUCAAGCUGGGCACUCUGACGGGACUGCCGGUGUAAGCCGAGAGGAAGGUGGGGAUGACGUCAAAUCAGCACGGCCCUUACGUCCGGGGCUACACACGUGUUACAAUGGCAGGUACAGAGGGCAGCUACCCAGCGAUGGGAUGCGAAUCUCGAAAGCCUGUCUCAGUUCGGAUUGGAGGCUGAAACCCGCCUCCAUGAAGUUGGAUUCGCUAGUAAUCGCGCAUCAGCCAUGGCGCGGUGAAUACGUUCCCGGGCCUUGCACUCAAAGCCCGUCAAG
rnacentral:rRNA from 1 species